CAGUAGCCGCGGUAAUACGUAGGUGGCAAGCGUUGUCCGGAAUUAUUGGGCGUAAAGGGCUCGCCGGCGGUUUCUUAAGUCUGAUGUGAAAGCCCCCGGCUCAACCGGGGAGGGUCAUUGGAAACUGGGAAACUUGAGUGCAGAAGAGGAGAGUGGAAUUCCACGUGUAGCGGUGAAAUGCGUAGAGAUGUGGAGGAACACCAGUGGCGAAGGCGACUCUCUGGUCUGUAACUGACGCUGAGGAGCGAAAGCGUGGGGAGCGAACAGGAUUAGAUACCCCCGUAGUCCCUGUCUCUUAUAC
rnacentral:rRNA from 1 species